rnacentral:snRNA from 1 species
GUGCUUGCUUUGGCAGCUCAUAUAUUGAAAUUGGAACAAGACAGAGAAGAUCAGAAUGAGCUCUAUCAAGGAUGACACACAAAUUUGUGAAGCAUCCCAUAUUUUU